rnacentral:rRNA from 1 species
AUACGGAGGGUGCAAGCGUUACUCGGAAUCACUGGGCGUAAAGCGCGCGCAGGCGGCUUGAUAAGUUGGAUGUGAAAGCCUACGGCUCAACCGUAGAACUGCAUCCAAAACUGUCAAGCUUGAGUCUGGGAGGGGAAGAUGGAAUUAGUUGUGUAGGGGUAAAAUCCGUAGAGAUAACUAGGAAUACCAAAAGCGAAGGCGAUCUUCUGGAACAGUACUGACGCUGAGGCGCGAAAGCGUGGGGAGCAAACAGGAUUAGAAACCCUAGUAGUCC